rnacentral:rRNA from 1 species
AUUGAACGCUGGCGGCAUGCCUAACACAUGCAAGUCGAGCGAGCGGCGGACGGGUGAGUACUGUCUGGGAAACUGCCUGAUGGCGGGGGAUAACUACUGGAAACGGUAGCUAAUACCGCAUACCAUCAGAUGUGCGCAGACGGGAUUGGCUAGUAGGUGGGGUAACGGCCCACCUAGGGGACGAUCCCUAGCUGGUCUGCGAGGUUGAUCAGCCACACUGGGACUGAGACACGGUCCAGACUCCUACGGGAGGCAGCAGUGGGGAAUAUUGCGCAAUGGGCGAAAGCCUGAUGCAGCCAUGCCGCGUGUGUGAAGAAGGCCUUCGGGUUGUAAAGCACUUUCAGCGGGGAGGCGUUACCCACAGAGGAAGCACCGGCUAACUCCGUGCCAGCAGCCGCGGUAAUUC